rnacentral:rRNA from 1 species
UCGUCGUCGUCGUCUCCGGCGACGAUGGCUGCACGGGCGCACGUGGAGAGGCUCCGGCGGGAGCGGUACUACAUCGGGCGCGGCGAGCAGAACCCGCUGGCGGAGGACAUGCACCAGGCGGUGAACUACCUGAGCCAGGAGCUCUACUCCAAGGACGUCCACUUCCUCAUGGAGCUCGUCCAGAACGCUGAAGACAAUGAGUACCCUGAUGGAGUAGCACCGUCAUUGGAGUUUCUAGUAACAUCAACUGACAUCACUGGAUCUGGCGCAUCGUCAACUUUACUCAUUUUCAACAACGAGAAGGGCUUCUCUCCAUCGAAUAUUCAGUCUAUUUGUGGUGUGGGGAAGUCAACGAAGAAGGGAAAUAGAGACAAGGGUUACAUUGGAGAGAAAGGUAUUGGAUUCAAAAGUGUGUUCCUGAUAUCAAGCCAGCCCCAUAUAUUCAGUAAUGGGUAUCAAAUGAAGUUUAAUGAGAAGCCGUGUCCAGAAUGCAAUAUUGGAUACAUUGUCCCAGAGUGGGUUGAGCCAGGCCUUUCAGAUAUCAAACAGAUAUAUGGGUCUACCAGAGACCUUCCAACAACCUGUAUCGUCCUGCCUUUGAAGGAUGAGAAGGUCACUGCGGUGAAGCAGCUGCUGUCAAGCCUGCAUCCAGAAAUGCUACUGUUUCUGUCAAAGAUCAGGUGGCUUUCUGUCUGUGAAGAUAACGGCAACGCUAAAGGCAGCACUGUUAGUGAGAUUGAAAUAUCAAGUGAGAAGAACUUUGAAGUGAGGAAUAACAUGCACGCGGAGUCUUACACGGUCUUUUUAUCUGCUCAAGAGAAUGAGAGUGAAGCAGAGUGCGGGUACCGUAUGUGGAGGCAGAGGUUCCCUGUCAAGGCAGAGAACAGGGUGGACAAGCGUACUGAAAUCGAUGAGUGGGUCAUCACCCUAGCCUUCCCUCUUAAGGAGCGACUAUCCCGUGGGAAGCAGCUAUCCCCUGGCGUAUAUGCUUUCCUUCCCACGGAGAUGGUAACGAACUUCCCCUUCAUCAUUCAGGCUGACUUCCACCUUGCAUCAUCAAGAGAGGCGAUACUGUUCGAUAGUCCAUGGAACAAGGGAAUUCUGGAGUGUAUCCCAAGUGCAUUCAUGAAUGCCUUUGUAGCACUUGUCAAGUCCAGAACAGAUGCACCAGCAAUGACUAUUCCGUCGAUGUUCCAUUACCUGCCUGUCAGUCCUUCGCUGGUCCCUUUACUUGAGCCUGUUAGGUCUGGCAUCAAAGAGAAGGUUCUCGUCGAGGAUAUAGUUCCAUGUGAGUCUCACACUCCACAGAAGAUGUUUUGCAAGCCUUGCGAGGUUGCGCGGCUCAAACCAGCAUUUUGGGAUAUCCUUGUCAAGGCGAGAGAAUCUGGAGUGGACCUUAAGAACCUGUCAACUCAUGGAACCUACAUACUCAGCUUUCAUUUCGACAAGAGUGCAUACAACAGUGUUCUUACAUUUCUGGAUGUCAAAAGCGUGAGCCAUGAAUGGUAUGCAAAAUGCAUUGAGGGGUCUAAUCUUGUCAGCAAUGUAGGUGAACAUCUUUAUCUGGAACUUUUAUGUUUUGUCGCAGACAGUUGGCAAAACUUUUCUGGUACAAAGAUGAUGCAAAUUCCUCUGUUGAAGUAUGUUGACAGGAACAAAAAUAUCUCUGUCUGGAGCAUAUCCAGAGCUAGUCAGUGGAGUGAUAGACUGUGCAUUGCAUCUGAUGGGAAGUGGAUGUCAUGGCUUAUCAGCUGGAACCAGGAGUUUCCAUCUUCUAACCGGCUUUUUGUGUCUCCCAGUACACAAACAGCUCUGCAAGGUUUCACGCAGAAGGAAAAAGUGACAUACUGGCUUCAAAGCCAUGCAAAAGUGGAGGUUGUAUCUGUAUACAGUUUCGGGAAUGUUGUGGUUAAGUCCUUGAACUGUGAUAGAAGGCCUGCCAUUGCUUUUUCUCACUUUCUGUACCAUUCAUCCAAUAAGAAUUACAUGGAGAGCUACCAGUUAGCAGAGCUAUGUUGUAUCAUGCCAGUAAUUGACAACUAUGGCAAUGCCGUCACGGAAAGACAAAGCAUUCUAGUUCCUGCAAAUGGUAGCAAAUGGGUUGGACUGAUGGGCACAAACCCAUGGAGGAAUGAGAAAUACAUUGAACUGUCAGCAGAUUACAAGUCAGCAGGUCAUUUCGCCGGGAACUACACACCCGAAGACCAGAUCUUGGAUUUUCUCAAGACAAAGAUGCAGGCCUCGGAUGUGCCAUUCAUACACCCUCCAAAUGCAAGUUUCCCGACAGUCUCAUCAUCUCUGACUGUGGACAAUGCAAUCUUGCUACUGCAAUGGAUACGGAACUUGAAGUCGAAAGGUGUACAAUUACCAGCUACUUUCUUGGCUUGUGUGAAAGGAGGAAGUUGGCUGAAGACAUCAGUCGGAUACAAGCCCCCGGCUGAAUCAUUUAUGUCCAGUUCUGAGUGGGGUAAUCUCUUGCAAAAUGGGUCUUCCUGUGUUGAUAUACCAAUGAUCGAUCAACAGUUCUAUCAAUACAAAAUGAAUGCAUACAAGGAUGAAUUAAAGGUGAUCAGGGUAAGAUUUGAAUUUGGGGAGGUAUCGGCUUACAUCGGCAGGCGGCUCAUGUCGAUGGCUGCAAGCAAUAUGCUGACCAGACAACAUGUAUAUGAGCUGCUUCGGCUGAUUCGGUUUCUUCAACAGAAGGUUCUGUCACCAAGUGAACUAGUCAACAGCGUGAAAGAUGGACAAUGGAUGAAGAGUACUCUAGGUUACAGGUCUCCUUCUUGUUGUAUCAUAUAUGAUUCAGACUAGGAAGUUGCAUCUCGUAUCAGUACCCAGCCAUUCCUUGAUGUUGGAUUCUAUGGCGAGUCCAUCCUUGACUACAAACAAGAGCUGAAGUUGCUUGGUGUCCAAGUUGGGUUUGAAAAUAGUGAAAAGACCUACAAGCUUAUAAUUGAUAAUUUCUAGUUCAGUUCUUCAUCUGUUACUUCUGAUGCUACUGCACUAAUCCUCAAGUGUAUCCGGUAUGCUAGCCCAUGUGAUGAUUUCUUGAGGAAGCUCAGAGAUUUGAAAUGGCUGAAGGCCAACGUAGGAUUCCGUGCUCCUGGUGAAUCUUUUCUUCUGGAUCAGGAGUGGGAGUGCCUUCUAAAGGUGUUCGACGGAGUUCCUGUUGUUGAUUCUUGGUUUUAUGGGAGUAAGAUCAGCCCGUACAAAGAGGAGUUGAAGAAGAUUUUCAAGCAGAUGGUCGAGAAGUCAUCGCUUACAAAGGUGAAUGUCCUGGCUCUGCUAGCAUGUUAUCGGCAGCUGAGAUCACACAACCCAAAUUCGGUUGGUCUUUUCAACUCCAUGCAGAGUGAGAAAUGGCUGUGCACAUCACUGGGAUUUAGGUCACCUUCGGAAGCAAUCUUAUUUGAUGAAAGUUGGCAGUCUGUGUUACCCAUUGCAAAAUUACCUUUCAUCAAUGAUGGUGACUCUAAUGGUGGUUUAGGCAAAGAGAUACAUGGUUACAAGGCUGAGCUGAAAGAACUAGGUGUUACAACAGAAGUGAAAGCCCAUGGCGCUAGGUUUGUCAUCAAUGGUCUCAAGAUUCCUGCAGACACUGCAGAUAUUUCUGCAGCCACCGUGUUGUCGUUGCUUGGGUCUGUUAAGAGCUUC